UACGGGGGGGGCAAGCGUUGUUCGGAAUUACUGGGCGUAAAGGGCGCGUAGGCGGCCUUCUAAGUCGAACGUGAAAUCCCUGGGCUCAACCCAGGAACUGCGUCCGAUACUGGUUGGCUUGAAUCCGGGAGAGGGAUGUGGAAUUCCAGGUGUAGCGGUGAAAUGCUUAGAUAUGACAUAGAACACCAAUUGCGAAGGCAGCUUACUACCCGAAUAUUGACACUGAGGCACGAAAGCGUGGGGAUCAAACAGG
rnacentral:rRNA from 1 species